rnacentral:rRNA from 1 species
UCGCUUCUACCGAUGAAUGAUCCGGUGAACACUUUGGACUCGUGAUCUUCUAGGUUAAUAGCCUUUGACUAUCGGGGAAGUUGUGUAAACCUUAUCAUUUAGAGGAAGAAG